CUCACAUCCUUUCAUAGUUUCUGUUCCCACAUGGAUUCUGCUUUCCUCUCGACAGCUUCAGCCCCCAUGGACUCUGAUCCCUGCAGGACUCUGCUUCCUCGCUGAGCCCAGCUUGCCUCCAACCUGCCAUAGCCCCACUUGGACUCUUGUCUUCCCCCAUCCCUGGAUAACUGCCGGUCCUCUCUGUCCCAGCUUCCAGAUUCCCCAUGCCUGCCUUCCUUGGCUCCUUAGUUCUGUUUCCCCUGGGUUCCCCCAGCAGAGGAGAACAGGGACACCAUCCAUGGAGCCACCCAUUUCCUGGUUGUAUUCCCCGCUGAGGGUUCCUGUGGGUUCCUGUUCAAAAGACUACUUGGUCACACACAUAUACCGUAAGAGUCGCGUGGCGACCAGACGCCUGCUUCUAAAGGAACACUUGUCUUUUGCCAGGAUGUGACAUGGGGAAGAGAAAGUAAAGGAGUAAAGUGAAGGAGAUGUAUCUGAACAGCAAAAGACAAGAGAAUAAAUUGGCAUGACUUUCU
ensembl:lncRNA